UUAAGUCUCAAGGAAAAGAAAAGCAAUUGCAAAAUGGGAAUGGAAACCUUGGUCCGUCUGGUGUUUGUUUGAGCACUGUCAGGCAGAAGUCUGUGCAAAAAGAGCAGAGGGUCCAUCUUGAAGAUCACUAAGAAAAGCCUGGAGUUUGUUGCCAAAGGUGAUGACAAUGAUUCACAAAAAAGUGUCAAUUUCUGUGGAGAUUACCGCUAUGGAAACUAAAGAGGCUGGAACUGGAAGGGAAGUUGAAAAGCACCCAUGCAUCUGUGGACGAGGGGAUCACAGCCUGUGGCAGAGCACCUCAGCUUCCCUCGCUCUUGGAUGUGUUCAUCACACUGAACCCACAGCCCCAUGUGGGAUGCAGAGUAAUGCCCAUUGCAUAUGUACCAACGAAGUUAUAGACGUCAAGAGAGGCCUACUACAGCUCCCUUAGUGGUCUGCUGGUAUGAACUAAAAGCUCCUCAUGAAGAAAAGAACUCUUGCAUGUAUUACUUUGUCCACUGCUGGCUCCCUGAACCAUCCCCAAUGGGAUAUGAACAACACCUUGAUGUCACUUCAUUCAAUGCCACAGACAGGAUCCAAAGUAUUUGUUAGCAGUAGGCAGGCAACUGAAAUUGAAGGUAAGCAAAGAACCAGAGCUCUUGCUUGAGUACAGCAUUGACAGAGUUCCCAGAUGUAGAAGUUGCCUAAACUGUUUGAAGUAGGUCAUUCAGAAGAGCCUCAGAAAGAGGCAAGUCACCAGUUUUUCCCUCUGCUACAGAGCGAUAGAGGAUGAGAACUACACUUGGUCCACCUGCAAUUUGUAACUCCUGUAUAGAGCAGGAUAUGCUAAUAAAUGUCAACUUUCAUCACA
rnacentral:lncRNA from 1 species